UGAAAUAGUUAAUGAAAUGGUGAGCUACACUAGCUUAGUAAGAAUAUCACACUAUUCACCGAUACAGAAACUGAAGGUUGGUAAAAUCAUGAAACAACCAAUUGAGCUCUUGAUUGAAGUAAAUUCAUUUAUCAUAAGGAAAAUUAUUUAUUGCAUAUAUUUACAAUUGUGAGAUUUUCAAAAUCAACCUAUAUAGACAAUAACUCAAAUAACAUUCCAACCUCAUAUUAAAGUGAGUAAAAAUAAUAACUUUCUUUUUUAUUUAU
rnacentral:lncRNA from 1 species